rnacentral:rRNA from 1 species
AUUGAACGCUGGCGGCAGGCCUAACACAUGCAAGUCGAGCGGAGCGGCGGACGGGUGAGUAAUGCCUAGGAAUCUGCCUGGUAGUGGGGGAUAACGUCCGGAAACGGGCGCUAAUACCGCAUACUAUCAGAUGAGCCUAGGUCGGAUGAGCUGGUUGGUGGGGUAAAGGCCUACCAAGGCGACGAUCCGGAACUGGUCUGAGAGGAUGAUCAGUCAAACGGGAGCGGAGCACCGGGCCAGACUCCUACGGGAGGCAGCAGGGGGGAAUCUUCCGCAAUGGACGAAAGUCUGACGGAGCAACGCCGGGUGGGGUAUGACGGCCUUCGGGUUGUAAAGCUCUGUUAAUCGGGACGCGGUACCGGAAUAGAAAGCCACGGCUAACUACGUGCCAGCAGCCGCGGUAAUAC